rnacentral:rRNA from 1 species
AAUAGAUACCCGGGUAGUCCACGCCGUAAACGAUGAGUGCUAAGUGUUAGGGGGUUUCCGCCCCUUAGUGCUGCAGCUAACGCAUUAAGCACUCCGCCUGGGGAAUACGGCCGCAAGGCUGAAACUCAAAGGAAUUGACGGGGGCCCGCACAAGCGGUGGAGCAUGUGGUUUAAUUCGAAGCAACGCGAAGAACCUUACCAGGUCUUGACAUCCUCUGACAAUCCUAGAGAUAGGACGUUUCCCGUUCGGGGAACAGAGUGACAGGUGGUGCAUGGUUGUCGUCAGCUCGUGUCGUGAGAUGUUGGGUUAAGUCCCGCAACGAGCGCAACCCUUGAUCUUAGUUGCCAGCAUUCAGUUGGGCACUCUAAGGUGACUGCCGGUGACAAACCGGAGGAAGGUGGGGAUGACGUCAAAUCAUCAUGCCCCUUAUGACCUGGGCUACACACGUGCUACAAUGGAUGGUACAAAGGGCUGCAAGACCGCGAGGUUUAGCCAAUCCCAUAAAACCAUUCUCAGUUCGGAUUGCAGGCUGA